GCCAAGUGAUUUGGCCUCCAGGAUGGCAGGUUCAUGGUAUAUCGCUCUCCGAACGGCAACCUAAGUUGUGAGAAAACAACUUUCUUCAUGAAAAUUUGGUGAAUACUUCUCUAACAAAUGGGCCAAGGAUGGAUGAAACGCAUAGAGAUUAACAAGGCCAGCUGAACAAAGGAACUAACAAUAUACUCUAUUUGGAAGCAGAUUUUAUUUUCCUUCUCCUCUCACCUGUUCUACCUGUUUUAGACCCAAAGCAACAGGUAAUGGAAGAUUUGCGCAGGUAAGUUUUACUUCAUAAACUAAAAAAGCUUAAUUUGAAAUGAACAGCACUUCAAAAUAAAUUCAUCCUUUACGGCAAACAAUUUCCAUCUUCUAAGAUGAUCUCAAGUAAGCAAUUCACAGGUUUCUGAAAUCAGUUGUCUACAAUCUAGGGCAAUUUAAACAAUCUUUACCUAUAAGUUUACACAUUAAACUUGGCUGGAAAAAACAUAUUUCUGUUUUGCUAGUGUUUUUAAUUGAGAUGAAAUUCACAUAUAAUAAAAGUAACCAUCCUAAGGUAUACAAUUUAAUGGCAUUUAGUACAUUCACAAUACUAUGUAACUACCACUUUCUUAUAGUUUGAAAAUUUGUCAUCACCCCAGAAUACUCUAUGUACCUGUUUGUACCUAUGAAGUAAUGUAAUCAACUCCCAUUCCCCUAAUGCCCCAACUCCUGGCAACCACUAAGUUGCCUUCUGUCUCAAUAGAUUCUGGAUAUUUCAUACAUGAAUGGUGAACUAUUACGUAUUGCAUUGCAAUUUGCGAUUCAUAUUGAUUCAUUUAUUUUACAGGAAAUAUCUGAUGAAACCUGUGACAACUCAGCCUCAUACAAAUGAAGAAUUUAAUUUGUACACUAUUUUGCAUUUUUUUCAUGUUUUUAUUUCCGAGAGAGAC